CCCCUGUCACCCUCUUCUGCCUUCAAUCUUGCCCAGCAUUAGGGUCUUUUCCAGUGAGCUGGCUUUUUGCAUCAGGUGGCCAAAGUAUUGGAACUUCAACUUCAGCGUCAGUCCUUCCAACUCUAGGGAGACAGCACACGCCUGGGAACACCGCCUCCUCCUGCCUCGCUGGAUCCUCCUUCAGUGAGGCCAAUGCAGUUCUCAGUCAACCACAAGCGCUCCUCAGCAUAACGGGCCCGGCUGUGUGUGAGUGCCCCCGCCGAUCCUCAGGUCUGCCGAGCAUCGCCGCACGGUGGCCGCCACCCCCCGGUGGGGCCAGGUCUCCACUGCGCCCCAGUCUUCUCAUGAGACCCUGAUGAGUCACCCACUGCGCCUAAUCUAACGGGGCUCUGGUGAGAACCAGCGAAAACUCCGGGAAGGGACGCGUGCGCCAUGACGGCUGCUGCUGUGCAUCCGACAGGAAGACCACAGCCCUGCCACAGACCAGAGGACACCCAGGGGCUCCAGGGACCAGAUGCGGGGUAGGGGCCUGUGCUGGAUCCUGACCCAGAAGAAGGACGUUCACAGAAAAACCGUAUUCCAAGAGAAAAAGUGGUUUGAAAAUGUAUGUCUUAACUUCAGACAACAAUGAAUUCAGAAUAAAGAGAAUUACACAAGAAAAGCACGGUACUUGUAACGGGAACAGUAUUUGCUGAAGGCAACUGAGAAGAUAAGUAAAUGCACUGCAGAUAAUGAGGACCGUGUUCCAAAUACUUAAAAGAUUACAAAUAUGGAAAUGGGGGAGCUUCAGUGAUCUCUGUUGUAGGGAUUAGAAUUAGUUAUAUCAGCAGGGACCCAUGGCUUUUAACACGUCUAAAUGAAGCUGAUGCCGAUGUGCGUGUAGAUAGGGGAGCUGAUGCUGAUGUGCGUGGAUGCACAUUUCCUAGUCCUGCCCACUGAAGGCUUAGGGACAGGGCAGUCCAGUGCCAGUGGGCACACAUGGCUCAGAUCUUGGUUUAAUACCGCCCUCCACUGAAGGAGCCAGGGCCUGCAGAAGCACGGCUGGUUCCCGCCUGCACAGGGGAAAUGCAACUGAGCCCGGACAUCCUGUCCCGGAAAGUAAGACAACGUCAGAGAUGUUGGGAAUAUGUCAGAACCAACACAGGAGCCAACGCGAUGGAGCAUCUAUGGGCCAAGUCGGAGCAUCAAAAUAAACAAGGAUCACAAGAGGUUAUGACCCACUGAACAGUAAGAAUCCAUGGAACCCUUCUGACAUAAAUCAGUCAACGCGUCAGUAAGGAAAUAUCAGCUGGUGGAAUUAGAGCGAGGGAGGGAAUUAGAGACACAGCCCGUGGCCCCCCUGUGGUGCUUGAAGGCAAGGGUCAUCACUGAUGAGAAUCAGGACAGAUAAACACCAUUUCAGAGCAUCUCGUCACCCGCAGUGACUGUCACAUGGACAAGCCUGGCAGACACCACUUGACCGGGGGGUGAAAGCCCACAUCAUUAGCAACGAGACAAAUUCACGCUGCACUCCUCCUGACUUAGCCCGCUGCGAGGAUCGUAGCGCUGCUUUGGUGGUGCUCCUGUCAAAAGUGCGUAUUGUGAAUACAAUCGUGAGGAAAUAUCAGACAAAUCGAGCGACACUGAACAAGGAAACUGGGCUGUGCCCUUUGCAACUGUCAAGGUCCUUAGAAGAGAGUGGAGGCUGAGGACCUGGGCUGGACGGAACGAGACUGGGGAUGCACCGUGUGUCCAGGUGGACCCUCCGUCUGCGGAGGACGUGGGCAACUUGGGAAAUCGGAAUGCAGUCCAUGGGUCAGAGGGUGGCAUUACAUCAAUGCUGAUUUCCGGAUUUUGGUGAUUGAGAAAUGGAAAUAAGCAGGAGUCCCUAACCCUAACCCUUCUAACCACGUGUGAUCCAACAGAGAGAAACUGAGAUAGAAUGUGGCCGUCCCAAAGAGUACCGUUAGUGAAGCGGGUCUGAUCGCUAGGUAUCAAACUUUGUGUCUUGAAAAAAAUACACCUUCCUUUUUAGUGUCUCCCGAAGACUCACAAAAUUUGCUUGUGUUACUAAUUUGCCCACAAAGAAAGCCCGGUAGGCUGGGUCCAGUGGACACUGGUUUAUUUCUGUGAGCAGACGCAGCUGUGAAUAAACAGCUUUUAAAAUCAGUUCUAUCCAGCACUGACCUAUAGGCGUCUUCGGGCUUUAGCACACUGUGUCUCUGAGAUAACGCAGGGGUGGGCAGUUUACCCAAAAGUCGCUGAAUUUCUGGCGGCCGCUCAGAUGUGCACGGGGUCAGAGAGCUCACAGAUACUGCCUCGUUCCGUUCCAG
ensembl:lncRNA